rfam:Capsicum annuum cultivar Zunla-1 chromosome 3, whole genome shotgun sequence
GUUGGUGAUGUGGAAAAUCCGUAAAAAAAGAUUUGAAUCUCUCUUAUGCAUUAUAAAAUUUCUCGUCCAACUUUUGCUUUAAACUGAAGAUUUCACUUCCUUUC